GGCAGACUGCAAACCAGCAGGAUUCCUGGGUUCCUCUUCCAGGAGGCAAGGGUGGUCAAGAAAGACAUCUGUAAGGGAGGUGAUAUUUAAGUUGAGACCCAAGAAGAGAAGGAGUAGCUGGCUGUAUGAAUAGCAUGUGCAAAGCCCUGCAGCAUGAAAGAGGUUGUGGUUGUAGAACAGAAACACUGCUGGGAUGAGGCAUCUCAGUAGCAAGCCGAGGAUAAGAGGGUCUUGAGAUGAGAGUGGGUACAGACCAGAUCAUGGAGAGAUUUACAAGUCACGGUUAAACAGUUUGGAUUUCAUUCCAAGUUUCUUAAAUGGCAUAUCGUCACAAGACCAGAAGAGACCUUUGGGACUCAUUCCAUCUGUCAGAAAAUAAUUUUCCAAGUUUAUUGUCAGAUGAAGAGUUAAAGAAUGCACCAAAAAAAGUGUUGUAAAAUCUCAAAAGAAUUUCUGGUCUUCUACGCAUAGCAGGUCAUAAAACCUCAUGGGAGAAAUGCCCUCCCUAUACCCAGAGGAAAGGAAUGUCUGCCUCACCGGGAACAGAGAGAAGCAGCAGAACAAACAGGCCUUGCUAAGUUCUCCCUAUUUUAUUACCAUUAAAUCAUACUGAUUUUUUCUCCAGUGAUAUUUCUCCAUUACAGUUUACCUCUUCAUCAAACCUAAGCAUAAAAAUACAUAAGUUUACCUGUUCCUUUGGGUCAUUUCCUUAUGAAGGCCCCCAUGUCAUAUAAAGCUUAUUAAAUACGUGUAUGUCUUUCUCCUGUUCAUCUGUCUUUGUCAGUUUUAUUUCCAGACCCAGCCAUGGACCCCAAAAUAGUUGAGGAAAAUCUUUUCUCCCCUACAGUUUCUGGCAACCAUGAAGAGACAGCUAAGACUACACUCAUUUCGGAGCAUGCAGAUAAA
rnacentral:lncRNA from 1 species